rnacentral:tRNA from 1 species
UAAUCCGUAAUGUAAAGGCAGCAUACAGGGAUUUGACUCCUGAGGUAUAGGUUCGAGUCCUAUCGGAUUAA